CCUACGGGUGGCAGCAGUGAGGAAUAUUGGUCAAUGGCCGAGAGGCUGAACCAGCCAAGUCGCGUGAGGGAAGACGGCCCUACGGGUUGUAAACCUCUUUUGCCGGGGAGCAAAGAGCGGCACGCGUGACGCCUCGAGAGUACCCGGAGAAAAAGCAUCGGCUAACUCCGUGCCAGCAGCCGCGGUAAUACGGAGGAUGCGAGCGUUAUCCGGAUUUAUUGGGUUUAAAGGGUGCGCAGGCGGAAGUGCAAGUCAGCGGUAAAAUUGAGGGGCUCAACCUCGUACCGCCGUUGAAACUGCGUACCUUGAGUGGGCGAGAAGUACGCGGAAUGCGUGGUGUAGCGGUGAAAUGCAUAGAUAUCACGCAGAACUCCGAUUGCGAAGGCAGCGUACCGGCGCCCAACUGACGCUCAUGCACGAAAGCGUGGGUAUCGAACAGGAUUAGAUACCCCUGUAGUC
rnacentral:rRNA from 1 species